rnacentral:tRNA from 1 species
GCCGGGAUAGCUCAGCUGGUAGAGCAGCUGUUUUGUAAACAGCAGGUCGCAGGUUCAAGUCCUGUUCCCGGCU